UGGGGAAUUUUCCGCAAUGGGCGAAAGCCUGACGGAGCAAUGCCGCGUGGAGGUGGAAGGCCUACGGGUCGUCAACUUCUUUUCUCGGAGAAGAAACAAUGACGGUAUCUGAGGAAUAAGCAUCGGCUAACUCUGUGCAG
rnacentral:rRNA from 1 species